ACCCCCAGCCGAAAGCAGGGAAGACGCGGAACUUGGGCUCCGGAGCGGAGGCCACAGACCAGGUCACGGCCCGGGUGGGGGGCUCUGGGCGAAAUUCCGGGUGGCCACCGGGGGUGGCGUAGGGGAAAGCAAAGCCCCGGCUGGUUGCGUUUCCAGUCGGACGACACUCGGGUCCGGGUGCCCGGGCCCGAUCCCUUCGCUGCUCACCGACCCCCUGCACCUCCUGGGUCCUCACAGUCCCAGGCCCGCUCGCCUCCGCCAGUGAGGCGGCCUCUCGGGUCUCCCCGGUCCCACCACUGCGGCCGCCCCUCUCGGGGCGGGGUCGCUGCUCGGCCCGCUCCGUUCCUCGGCCUUCCAGGCGAAGGGCAAGAGCGAGCCCUGGCGGACCGUGCGGAGGGGUGCAGAGACCUGGAUGCGGCCUGCGAUCUCCUUCCCCGCCCCGGCGUUCUCCGCCCACCCGGGGUCCUUCCCGCCAAAACCUCUCACCUACAAGUACAGCGCGUCCUAAAUUUGGCACCGGCAAAGAACUGUGGCUGAGCAAUGCGUUGCUCACAGGCUCCUUUCUUUGUGUCCUUUUCUCUUCUCGUUGCUAUAUAUAAUAAAACCCUCCACGUUUU
rnacentral:lncRNA from 1 species